ensembl:misc_RNA Metazoa_SRP Metazoan signal recognition particle RNA
GCCGGGCGUGGUGGCGCGCGCCUGUAGUCCUAGCUACUCGGGAGGCUGAGGCUGGAGGAUCGCUUGAGCCCAGGAGUUCUGGGCUGCCGUGUGCUAUGCCGAUCGGGUGUCCGCACUAAGUUCGGCAUCAAUAUGGUGACCCCCUGGGAACGGGGGACCACCAGGUUGCCUAAGGAGGGGUGAACCGGCCCAGGUCGGAAACGGAGCAGGUCAAAUAUUUAAAAUUUCAUUUUCAAAUAUUUGAAGGGCAAUCACCUGAAAAAUAAAUAGAACCUGCUCUGCUUGGCCCCAGAGAGCAGAACUAGACAU